rnacentral:lncRNA from 1 species
GGGGCGAGGAGAUCCAGAAGCUCUCGGAGUUAGGAGAAGGCCGAAUAUCGAGUCAAAAUGAAGAUUGUUAGAAUUUUAUGCCUCGAGAUUCGAUUUAUAUUGAGCCUACGCAAAGUCUGCGAUGAAAAAUAGAGUCCAACGAGAUCAAGAUCACCCCAAAUGGAGCUCGAAUGGAGGAGAUAUGAGCUUUUGAAGCUUGCACGAGAUUCGAGAUGAUGGAGGACCAUCGAUGGCUGGCAGCGGGCCGGCG